rnacentral:lncRNA from 1 species
GCAAUUCUUCACAAGAAGCACCAGCCUGUUUUACAAUUAAAGGCUUUGAGCAUAUUUACUGUAGCUACAUAAAAUAUUUCUGCCUGAGUAUUACAUGAGUUCUGUUUCUGUGUUAAGCAAGGAGUUUACCUGAUACCUAGUAUCUACACGAAUCCUUUUCUAAAGGUAAUUAUUAUGGUAACUCAAUGUUCAACACUUCCAUUCUCCUCACUAACCACAGGCAAGAAGGAGACAGCACCUGCAAGCUGUCCCAGGGUGCUUACUGAGAACAAGCUAUAGUGCUGGAACCCAAGACUCAGGAGUCAAACAUUGCAAUACUUCCAUUCCUGGAUAAUCAAGGCUCUUUCUGGUCUCAGUUUUUGAUUUCAGAUCUUUUCACAGAUCCUAUUACAAUUCACAGUAAAGUGAUCCUCUACCUGUCUUUCCUGAGGGGUCCAAUUAAGGUAAGGAUUUAUUCAAGACGCGUACUGACCUGGGGCUUGCACAGUGCAAAUCUGAG